rnacentral:rRNA from 1 species
GACGAACGCUGGCGGCGUGCUUAACACAUGCAAGUCGAGCGGUAAGGCCCCUUCGGGGGUACACGAGCGGCGAACGGGUGAGUAACACGUGAGCAAUCUGCCCUUCACACAGGGAUAACCUCGGGAAACCGAUGCUAAUACCUGAUACGACCACUUCAGGCACCUGAUGGUGGUGGAAAGUUCCGGCGGUGAAGGAUGAGCUCGCGGCCUAUCAGCUUGUUGGUGGGGUAAUGGCCUACCAAGGCAACGACGGGUAGCCGGCCUGAGAGGGUGACCGGCCACACUGGGACUGAGACACGGCCCAGACUCCUACGGGAGGCAGCAGUGGGGAAUAUUGGACAAUGGGCGAAAGCCUGAUCCAGCAACGCCGCGUGAGGGAUGACGGCCUUCGGGUUGUAAACCUCUUUCAGCAGGGACGAAGCGCAAGUGACGGUACCUGCAGAAGAAGCACCGGCCAACUACGUGCCAGCCGCCGCAGUAACAC